rnacentral:rRNA from 1 species
GAUUCCCCUAGUAACGGCGAGUGAACCGGGAAAAGCUCAAAUUUGAAAUCUGGCUGUCUUCGAUAGUCCGAGUUGUAAUCUAUAGAAGCGUUUUCCGUGCUGAACUGUGUCUAAGUCCCUUGGAACAGGGUAUCAAAGAGGGUGAUAAUCCCGUACUUGACACAACCAUCAGUGCUCUGUGAUACGUUCUCUACGAGUCGAGUUGUUUGGGAAUGCAGCUCAAAAUGGGUGGUAAAUUCCAUCUAAAGCUAAAUAUUGGCGAGAGACCGAUAGCGAACAAGUACCGUGAGGGAAAGAUGAAAAGCACUUUGGAAAGAGAGUUAAACAGUACGUGAAAUUGUUGAAAGGGAAACGAUUGAAGUCAGUCGUGUUCAUUGGAUUCAGCUAGUUCUUCUAGUCUACUUCCUUUGAACGGGUCAACAUCAGUUUUGUCCGGUGGAUAAAGGAUUUAGGAAUGUGACUCCCUCGGGAGUGUUAUAGCCUAGGUUCACAUACACUGGGUGAGACUGAGGACUGCAGCUCGCCUUUUGGCCGGGGUUCGCCCACGUUCGAGCUUAGGAUGUUGACAUAAUGGCUUU